CUCUGGAGAGCUGAAACUGCCCCUGUGAUUUAUGCAUUCAUAUCUCAAAGCUUUAAGGCUUUCCUCAAAGGCAGUUUUCUUUCUCGGCCCAAGUGGCUGGAUCCCUUCGGUUCAGAGAUGCAGCCUGGAGGUCUAGCAUCUUCCCAGGUGAAAAAGCACGUGCGUGUGUGUGCGCGCUGACAACAAUGGAGUCUCUCCAACCGCAACGCGAGAAGGGGAGUGAACCCGGGCGGAGCUUCCCUAGCCCGGGAACAUCAAACCCCGCUGAUUAGCCGGCGUGCAAACAACCAGCCAUCAUCUCCACGUGAGCUGACUAACUGCAGAUGCCCCACCGAUCACAUAGGACUCCAUAAUUGCCUUCUGUUGUAACUGCACUCCCUGGAUCCGUGCAGGUGUAAGGAAUGCAGGCAUCAUGAGAAACUAGCCAAGAGCCAAGGUCAAGAUAGCAUUUUGUUUCACAGCAGUCCGAGAAGUCUCUGC